rnacentral:tRNA from 1 species
GCCCCCGUAGUUCAACGGAUAGAAUAGAGGAUUCCUAAUCCUUAGAUGUGUGUUCGAUUCACGCCGGGGGCACCA